rnacentral:lncRNA from 1 species
AAAGGGGCCUUGGAACAACAAUGUUGCAAGGGAAGCCACCGAGAGCAAAGCAGCGAGCAUCAUGAGGAUGUGAAAUGGUCGGGCACAACAAGAGGGAGCGAAUGAUGGAUGAGCAACAAGUGCCAAUGAGCUAUAGAACAGAAGACAGAAGAUGGCAACAGAGGUGGUAAAAGAGUGGGUGUCAAAAGGGACUUUGGUUUCCCUCGAUAUUUCACCUCAAUGAAGUUGAGCAGCACGGGAACAAUAAAGGUGAGAACCGCGUGGUGGGAAGUGGAGGCAGGGAAACCUCGGACAUUUCUGUGGACUACUGCCGAGCGGCCUUGGAAACUGGAAUAAGUUUCCAGAUGAUCCUUUAGCCUAUGUACAAGAUGAUUAUCAAGGUAAUCAGAUAAAAAGAUGGGUUACUAGAACAGGGAAAAUACUAAUGCAUUAGAGUGGGGGCAAAUCAUGCUUUUUAUAAUGAAGCGAUUAAACACUGCACCAGUAGACUAUGUAGCACCGACACUCUCCGGGAACCUUCAUGUCGUGUCUGACACUCCGACACGUAUUUGACACGUUCCGACACGCGGUCAACGAGUGUCGAAAGAUCCAACACGUGGUCAAGUCUCUCCGACAUGCUCCGACACGCAAGUCCAGAAUUCCGACACGCGAUUCCAACACGCACAGGUCAAUUUUAAAAAUUUAUAAUACUUGAGGGGUCAAAAUAUAAAUAUACAAAAAAGAAGUAAUAAAAGAAGUAAUAAAAAAAUGCUAUAAAUAUACAUGCACGUGGUCAAUUUUUUUUUUAAUUUUUUUUAGAAUUGUUUCAGUUUUUUUAAAAGUCUUUUACUAUGAAAAAAGUAAUAAAAAAUGCUAUAUAUGAUAAAUAAAUAAAUUUACAAAUAUCAUUUCAGCAUUUUUCUUUAAAUAAUGUUUUUUUUCUCUAAGUUUGAUGUAUUAUUGUAACAAAUUAAAAUAAUGAAUUAUAUUAUUUAAUAUUUUUCGUGUAAUUAAUUCUAGGCUAUUUUUAUUAUUAUUUAUUUAUGUAUUUAUAUAAUAAAUAUAUUUAAUAUAUAAUGUGUCGGAACUCUCUAUUUUUAAGAAAUGACGUAUCGGCGUGUUAUGUCGUGUCGCGUGUCGCGUGUCGCGUGUCCAUGUCGGUGCUACAUAACUAGUAGAGUGUCAAUCUAUUCUAUAUUUGUUUCGCUACUCUGCAGCAGUUUGAUAAGGCUUAGACCGAAGGAGGGUGACAUUACAGUCAAACUGUCGUCGUGCAGCGAAUGCAUCGGGGGUGUGUACAUCACACAUAAGAUAGCAUACUAUGACUUUCUUCCCAUGUCCACGAAACUCUUACAUUCACCUUUCUGCUUCACACAUUGGAGGACAAACGAAAGUUGUCUAGCUUUUCUACUUUAUAGAGCGCUGGAUGGUCGCCACGUAUUUAUUUCUCUAUGGAGAAAACGAAGCAGACCCUCCAAUGAGCCAAAAGAGUUCAGUGCCUUCAAAAUGCAAGAUUCCAAGCCGACAUUGAUUAAUAUACAAGAAUUACAAAAAGAAGUACCUCCGGUGAGAGAACGAAAGUUUUGGCUGGGCAGCUCGGAAGCUGGUCUCAGAACCCCCUCCCCGUUCGCCCAAAUAAAAAUGGAAUAGGACGGGCGUUAUGAAAUUUACCAGUCGGCCUUGGACAGAUACCAUUGGUCGAGGCUAACGCCAGCAGAUCUGAAUCUACAAGGGCCCACCUCAAUUCCUGGAUUCAGUGCGCGAUGGCAUUUCAGCCAUUGUUACUUGCUGCUUGCAGGCUCGAAAAUCUGUCCUUUGCCUCUCCUCCCUGUCUCAACGUUGGUUAAUCAUGAAAUAUUGUUUAUGGUCACCCCAGGUUUCUGAUGGGCUUUAGUAAAGCCCUCCCGGUUAGAGGCGAUACAAAUCGUUUUUCAAGUUGAGAGAAUGUUCCACAAAGCUGGGACAUGGAUGGAGGUGGAAGAGGGGGAUGAUCUCUCUUCCCUGGCUUGUUCUUUGGGCCACUGCUAUUAUUCACCUGUCCCCAGUGAUAGGCUUUGGUUUGUCACCAAGGUCACAUGCAAAAUGCAUACUUGAGCAAUCCCAUUCACAGUAUGUCCAUCUUCUAGAACGGAUGCACUUCUUAUAUGGUCACCUUCUACUGAACAAUGGACACCCGCACCUAUAUUACUAACUUGCUUAGGCUUCGAAAGCAUGUCAGUCCUUUUAAUCAUGUCACUUAACCUCUAUUAGAUAGAACGAAAACAAAAGCGCAAUAGAACGGAAGCCAUUUCUUGACAAAACCGUUACUUUGGUCCGUUUCUUUACUGGCUACCUCUCUGAUGCAUGUUGAAAAGCAGAGCUGGCAUACUGAAGAGCUGACUUGUUGCAGAAGCUAGCUGCUGCGUCCCUGACCUUUUUUCCAGUUUUGUACAGAACAAUUGAGAGGUGGAUCUGAUUAGUUGCCAUCAUCCGAGAGACUUGAUGACAAUUACGUCAUAGUCACAAUAUAAACAACACGAAGGGAGUUGUAUGGAUGAUCAUUUUCCUCUCCAAUCAGCGGUGAAAGCUUUAGUCAAUACGGUGCGAAUAAACAAGUCACAGUCCUUCAAAGUAUAGUUGAAGGGAUAAUUACAGCCUUAUGAAAUCAUGAUUCUUUCUGGAAUGCUUAAAAAUAAGAGAUAACUACACUAAAAUUUUUAGAAUUUUUUUGAAAAAUGCAAUUCAAUCAUAGGACUCCGAAAAAGUACAAUCAUGAUACUUGUGGAGUUGAUUAAUGUGGUUUUUUUCUUAUUACUUUCUUAAAACACAUAGCGUUUGUGGCUUUUUCUUCUUAUUUUUUCUCUUCAUUUUCACGCUUGCUUUCUGAUGGUUUAAAUAAGAUGGGCUUAAGGCCCGUCCGCCCAAGUUGGGCCCAAAAAACCCGGCCCAUGGGAAUAUGGCCCGUGGAUGGGGGGACAUAUAAAAGGGAGGAGAGAGAAGGGAGAACGCACCUUUUGGAAAUCAACGUACGUACGUCUUCACUUCUCCCGCGCACUCUCUCUCAAAAAGAAAAAGAAGAAACAGUAAGGCAAAAGGCACAUUUCCUCUUCCCUUCAAGGCGUCAUCGGAUCGAACAGGGCCAAAUCUCUUCCUCCUAUUGGCGUCGGUGUCUAAUCUGUGGCUAACAAGGUACGCUCGAAUCCGUGGUGUGCUUUAGGAUCGGUGAUACGUGUUUUUCCCGGGCUUCGCUUCCGCAUUCGUUUUAGGGGUUCGAUUUAGUGUCGAAUCCGGUUUUUCGGGGAUCCAUUAUUCUCAACAUUGGUAUCAGAGCCCCAGUUCACGUUUUUCCCGACCCCUUUGAUGUUUUUUGAUUGAUUUUCGCGAAAGUAAUCGGCCGGUACGGAUCGGGGCGAGCAAUCCCGUUGACCGACGACCAUUGACCGUUGACCCAAAAAAAAAGAAAAAGAAUUUGUUUCUUUUUCAAUUAUGUCUGUGUGGGUUAGAGGUAAUCCAUUUUUUAUUCUGCAUUUGUUGCAUGAAUCAUGGAAAAUUAUGUAUUUUCCAUUUUGUUUAUUGUGGAUUAUAAGUGAUCUAUUUUAGUUCUGCAUUUGUUGCAGGAACUAUGAUGCGUUAUGCACGGAUACCUGCAAUCCCGAGAACAGACGAAGGAAGAGCUAGACUGAAAAGGCUGAUGAAAGAGUUAGCUGAUUAUCGAUGGCAUGACGGUGAUUUAAUAUCACACAUUGUCAGGGUCAAUCAGAUGAUACAGGAAAUCAUCUGGAAUGGUUAUCUUAUGCCGGAUUUUGAGAAGAUGCCGGCUUUGAUGAACACUCUUUCACCUGAAUGGCAAGCAGUGUUAGAUCGGCUAUGGGAGGUCAACGUGGUCCCGGAUUACAGGGGGCUAGUGGAAGCUUUUGUAAGAGAGUACUAUAGGAUUGAGUUGGCCAAAACUUCAACCCUUAGAUUGAGCGCCACAUGGCGUAGAGUAAAUGCGCCUUGGUGGCGACAUGAAAGCUCUCCAAAAGUUUUUCCAUGGUUGGCAAAUGUGCCUUCAGUUUUCUCAAAUGUUUUGACUGAUAGAUUAGAAGGGACAUUCCCUAUUUAUUUCUUAGAUUAAACAUGAGAUGUUUUAAGGGUGUAAAUAUCUCUUUCCAUGUUGAUAUUUUUCUCUGUAUAUAUUGCUUAGUGUAAUGUAUAGUUGUAUUAUGUGAAAGCAUUGUUAUUCUAUUGGAUGUUAGAUAUUAUCUGUUGCUUUCUGUUAUUACUUAUUGCUGUGGGUAGUUAGCUGUGGGUAGUAAUAGAAGUUUUUGUAACUUCAUAAAAUUUAUUUUGCAUAAGAAAAUUAUAUUAAUAAUAAUUUUGAGUUAGGAUUUUUGGAGGAUGAUUGGAAACAUAGUGACCUUUUGAUUCUAAAACCUUACUUAAAAUUGUUCAUUGAUAUAAUGGGUCUAUGCAAAGUGGAUGCAUAAAUGAUAGGCAUUAAUUAUUCGUGCAUGUAUAUCUGAUGUGUUCAGAUUGAUGGUUUCAGCAACUAAGAACGUAAUUGCUUAUAUGAACGGCAACAAUUGUGAAAUAUUGAAUAUGAAGAUUCAAUAUGUGCUGGAAAAGCAAGAAGCACUAAAAGCUCUUGACCAUGUUAUGGAAGAUCUUGAGGAUGCUGUGCGCCACCUUGAGCUGGUAGAGGACCGUUUAAUGGCAUGUGAGCUGAAAAUAGAUAUUUGCAAUGCUAGUUCUAGCUCAGAAAGAGCUUUGAGCUCUAAGCGCAAGCGUAUUGAUUCGUUCAAUAUAUGAGAUUGCAAAGGAUCAAGUCCUUAUUGCAAAAGAUCAAGAGUUAACCAACACAAGAGAGGAAAAUGUCCUUAAGUGAAGAAAAUGUCAAGGGUGAGGUGUUACAAUUGUGACAAGAAUGGUCACUAUGCUCGCGACUGUCGUGAGCCAAAGAAGGUACACACCUCUUGUACAUUUGAGAACUUUGCUUAUGUGUCAAGUUCUGAAUUAUUGGCUGAAUCCAAUCCUUUGUGGACUAUAGAUUCAAAAGCGAUAGACCAUGUAGUAAAGGAUAGAUGAUCCUUCAUGGAAUUCCGACGAGUACUAACUGGAACUAAGUGGAUCUAUGUAGGAAAUAACUCCAGAGAAGAAGUUAAAUGGAUUGGCACUUGCCAAUUGAACAUGCGUGGUGGACGCAACUUGUUCCUACAUGAUAAUCUAUAUGCUCCGGAGAUUCGUCAAAAUUUAAGUGUCUGUUUUGGUGUUGGUUAAGCUUGUUUUUGGUUUGAACUUCCAUAAUAAAGGUGUAGAUUUGUGUUUAGAUACAAACUACUAUGGUUGUUGUCACUUUCUGGAUGGUUUUAUUGUACUGAAUGUUGACUGUGGUGAUGUCAAUAUGUUAUUCCCUUGUUUCACGUCUUUUACUUCAUGUGAUAAUGAUGUGAAUGUGUGGCAUGCUAGACUUGGUCAUAUUAGCCAACAACAUAUGAAUAGACUAGCCAAAGAGGGCUUGUUGGGCAACAUUGAAAAAGUCGAUUUGCCCAUAUGUAAGCAUUGCCUAGAAGGGAAAACGACAAGGAAACCAUUUGGGAAAGGAAAAAGAGCUGAAUUUCCUAUGCAUUUAAUCCAUUAUGAUGUCUGUGGUCCAAUGAAUGUGAAAGGAAGGUAUGGGGCUGUUUAUUUCAUCACUUUUAUAGAUGAUUAUACUCGAUUCGGAUAUGUCUAUUUGAUUUCUCAUAAAUCUGAAACAAUAAGUUGUUUCAAAAAGUUUAUGAACCUGGUAGAAAAUCAAUUAGACAAGAAAAUAAAAGUAUUUAGAUCCGAUCGAGGUCGAGAAUAUUUAUCUGAUGAGUUCAGAAAAUUAUGUGAUGAAAAAGGAAUAGAAAGACAGUUGUCUAUUCCAUAUACUCCUCAACAAAAUGAUGUUGCAGAGAGAAGAAACAGGACCCUAAUGGAAAUGGUUAGAUCCAUGAUGGCGCAAGCUAACUUACCUAUCACCUUUUGGAGUGAUGCGUUGUUAACUGCUGCCUAUAUACUUAACCGGGUGCCUUCCAAAUCAGUUAUUUCCACUCCAUAACCUUUUGGAGUGAUGUGUUGUUAACUGCUGCCUAUAUACUUAACCGGGUGCCUUCCAAAUCAGUUAUUUCCACUCCAUAUGAGUUAUGGAUAGGUAGAAAACCGGACUUAAGUUUUCUUAAGCCAUGGGGUUGUGCUGCCUAUACUCAUGAGUCCUCUCACAAGUUUGGGAAAUUGGGUCCCAAAGGAAAGAAGAGUAUUUUAAUGAGAUACUCCGAACACUCGAAAGGGUAUGUGUUCAUAGGUGAGCAGGAAAGUGUGAGUAUAACUGAAUUUGAAUUACAGGAUGUCACAUCCUUAGUGGAUGAAUUUCCUAGGAGGGGCGAAAUAGGGGAAGAUGACUUCUUAUUUGAAACCUUGGAUCAAGAUAAUGAUAUUAGUGGAGUUCGUCCAAGUGGGAGUAAUAUGAGAAGUGAUGAAUUGAAUUCAACUCAUUCUCAAUUACAACCAUAUGAUGAGAUGAUAUCAUCAUUAUCUAAUCCGAGUGGGAGUAUAAUGGGGAAUGAUGUGCUAAGUGUACAAUCUCCCAUACGGCGAACAAGUCGCCAAAGUAUUCCCCGUCGACGUUUUGACAUUGAAGGGGAAACUUUUAUGGUUGCUCCACAAGAUGAGGAUGAGCCAAGAAAUAUUAAUGAGGCUCUGAAUUGCCCUAAUAAGGAAAAAUGGAUUUAUGCAAUAGAAGAGGAAAUGGAGUCAAUGAAAUCAAACCAGGUCUGAGAACUGGUUGAUCUUCCAAAAGAACGCAGAGCUAUUGGGAACAAGUGGAUUCUCAAAAUAAAGCGAAAGGCUGAUGGCUCGAUAGAAAGGCAUAAGGCUCAUCUUGUGGCGAAGGGGUAUAAUCAACAGGAAUGAAUUGAUUAUAAAGAUACAUUUUCUCCUAUAGUGAGAUUUACCUCGAUUCGCAUUAUUCAGGCAAUAGUGGCUAGUCUGGAUCUUGAGUUACAUCAAAUGGAUGUAAAGACUGAUUUCCUCAAUGGAGAAUUAGAGGAAGAAAUAUAUAUGGAACAACCUGCUGGUUUCAUAGCGAAAGGCCAAGAAGAAAAAGUAUGUCGACUUUUGAGGUCGAUAUAUGGUCUUAAGCAGUCAUCAAGACAAUGGUAUAUACGUUUUCAUAUUACCAUAAUGGCAUAUGAUUUUACGAUGAUUGAUGAUGAUCAUUGUGUAUAUAUCAAAAGAUCCAAUGAUCAAUUUGUGACAUAUCAUUAUAUGUUGAUGAUAUACUAAUUGCCGGAAGCAAUAUGGAGUUUGUUAAGACUGUCAAGAGUUGGUUGUCUUCCAAUUUUGAAUUGAAGGAUAUGGGAUUGUAAACCCAUAGACACUCAUAUUGCAAAAGGUGAAGGAUUGAGCCAUAGACUGUGUCCAAGGACUCCACAAAAGAAUGAACAAACGAAAUAUGUUCCUUAUGCUAGUGCUAUUGGGAGCUUGAUGUACGCUAUGAUGUGUACAAGACCUGACAUAUGUUAUGCAGUUGGAAUGGUGAGCAGAUACCAAUCCAAUUCAGGUCAAGCACGUUGGAAAGCCGUUAAAAGAAUACUAAGGUAUCUAAAGGGGACUGCUGAUUAUACGUUGAGUUAUUAAGGAAAUGAUCUGCAACUCUAAGGCUAUUCUGAUGUUGAUUGGGGAGGAGAUUUAAAUAAAAGAAAAUCUACCUCUGGAUUUGUUUUCUUACCAAAUUAUGGCACCAUAUGUUGGAGUAGUAAGAAACAAAAGUGUAUAGCCUUGUCCACGAUGGAAACUGAAUUCGUGACAUUAUCAGCAGCAAUAAAAGAAGAUAUUUGGCUUAAGAGAUUAUUGGAUCAUUUAGGUGUUAUUUGAAGUGCUGCAGAUUCAUUGUUGGUUAACUGUAAUAGCCAAGCAGCAAAAGCGUACAUCAAAGAUCCAAAAUAUCAUAGCAAGACCAAACAUAUAGAUACCAAGUAUACUUUUGUCAAUGAUAUGAUUGCACGAAAAGAUGUGAACUUAGAGUACAUACUACGCAUAGAAUGGUAGCAGAUCCUAUGACAAAGCCAAUACCUAGAGAUGUGUUUUGUGGCCAUAUGAAAUCUCUAGGAUUGCGUAGAGUCUGAUAUACUGGAUUGUAAUUUCCCUGAAGCGUUCACAUUUGAUGAAUUUGUAUUUUUCAUCAUUAAUGCCUAUGAAUCUUUGUUUGAUCUUUAUGCAUCUUAAUGCUCAGUGCAUUACUUUAAGUUGAGAAAGUAUGUCGGACAGAUAAAAGAUUAGCCCACUCACACGGGUAAUCGCCUCUAUUUACUGUGUGAAAAAUAGAGAUGAGACUGUUUUUAAGCUUAUUAUCUAGGUGAUAAUCGAGAGCUCAAGCUUAAAAUACAUAUGUCGCCUUAACUGAGUGUUAAGAUGAGGACAUAAUACUUAUUAUGUCCGAAAGUAAAAUACCCCACAUAUUUUACUUUAUCUGUCUAAGAUGCCAGAUGUGAGUUCUGAUGAAUUUUGUAAAAGAGUAGAUACGUGAACUCAAGUUAGACAUUGGAUAUGUCUGAACUAUCAUCUGUACGGUAUUGAAAGGUGUAGACUGAUAUUGCUAGUAUAAACACCUAGAGGGGGGGUGAAUAGGCGCACAAACAAUUUGUCGAUAUACGGAAGCAAUUCUUAACAAAUUGAAAUACGAUCAAGGUAGGAAGAGAGAAAUUGGAACACAGGAUUUAUAGUGGUUCAGCUUUUCCAAGCCUACGUCCACUCUUCCGCACUGACAGCCCACCGGCUGGAUUUCACUAUGAUCAAAAGAGUAGUUACAGCACAGCUUUGCCUUGAUUCCACAGUGUAGAUGUACUGCCACACCUCCUCAAGGUCUCUCACAAAUAUAGACUCUCUUUUGUAUACAAGUAUUCGCUCAAAGGAUUUAUCUAAACAAAUAGGAGCUUCAGACUUUAGAAUUUUUCUAUCGCGCACUUCCUCGAACAACUAAGGACGUCUUCCUUAUAUACUCCUUUAUGCCAUCAUACCCGUUGGCACUUACCAAAGGAAUUCCUCCAAUCUACCCGUUGGACGGAAUCAAUUAGGAAGAUCAUUCGAGCUAUUAAAGGAACGUGUUGAUAGCCCAUCAAUCCUGUUCGCCCAUACAAUCAGGAUCUCGGUUUCCAUAAGUAGAACCUUCCAAUAAUAUUUAGACAAUCAUCGAAUCUUCAGUCAUUGAAUCAAAUUUGAUCAAUCAAAGGAUUCUGAUACGUCUUCUCCAGCCAUGAGAUCUUCUCCAGAUGAUAAGGUUAAAUCCUGAACAAAACAUUCAGUUCGGGAUAACCUUUCUUCAACGGAUCAGUGACUGUCAAUGAGGAUAGACUUUGAGUCUUGAGUCUGGCUGUCCGGAAUUCAGACUUUAACUAACAGAGUCUGCAAACCUUUAGACUAGACUGACGGAAACGUUUUGUCAACUUCAAAACUCUUCACGAGGAUUUCUCCAACAAUCUCCCCCUUUUUUAUGGUGACAAAACCUUCCUGCAGAUUUGGAUAACUUUGACCUGCAAAACAUUUCUCAACCACAUAUGCAUAUCUUAUAGAAAUAAAUGGCUAAUAGAAUAAUACUAGAAUCUGCAACCACAGAAAAUAGGUUAGUCCAGUAUAUGAUUAAGCCAUUCAUAAGAUAUCAAUAUUGAUUAAUAAAAGCAGUAAAGUCAAGUCCAAGUCUAGGCAGUUCUUAUCCAGACACAAAACAAAGUCAAAGUCUGUCAAAAACAAACAGACAGUUAAACACAAUCCAACAAACAGUUAAAAAAGAUUGAAAGUUUUCAAAUCAUGCAUCUCUCCCCCUUUUUGUCAUCAUUUAAAAAGGAUGAGAUGAAAUCAAGAUUGCUUGGGAACGCGGACAAGCUGGAAAUCUUCCAUAGACUGAACAAUGCCUUCCAGCCUUUUAAAGUCUUCCUUCAGCUGUACAACCUCCUCACUCUUGGCAUUGGCCUGAUUCUGAAUAGAGAGGGCUUGCAUCUUUUCAUUCAAUGAACAGGAAGAAGCUUGACCUUCAUUCUUCAAGCUUUGAACUUCGCAUCCCAAGGCAUAAAUCUGACCUUUCAUCUCCAAGAGAAUAUCCAUGAUUCUGCGAAAAUCUGCUCCAUUAUCAGUCUGAGUACUUGCUUCGGCUCGAUCUGGAGUAUAAGCAGACGAUGGUGGAUCAGCAUAAUCUCGCAGGUUUGGCGAUGAAGCUUCAUGACCUUCCUCUGGAAAUUGAGAUGCAUAAACAUCUUCUGGGUCUGCAGGCGAGCGACUGACUCCUUCACUUGCAUCUGGAUGUGAAGACGUCACUCCUUUCUCCUGAUCUCCCCCUGUUUCCAUGCCUACAGGUGGAGAAGAGAUUUCCUCAGGUUCUCCUUCUUCUCUUCUUUCUUCUUCAGAUCUUUCUUUCUCUGCUUCUUGCUCUGCUUCUCUUUCUCCUUCUUCCUUCUCCUCUGCUUCUUUCGUCUUUUGUUCCGAUUCUUUCUGUGGAACAGGACGACCUAAAUUCCUCAAAGCCAUUGCAGAGAUUGUGAUGUCUUCGUCAUCAUCUUCAUCCUCAACGAGGAGAGCUCUUCUUUUCUUUGAUGAAGCAGCCAUGGGCUCCUUCCCUUUUCUCUUAGCAGCAGAAGAGAAUUGAUGAGAUUUGGUAGGAGUCUUCUCCUUGAAUUUCUCCAAUUCCUUGCUCAGUUCCUUCAGACGCAUUUUGGUUACCAUUUUCAGUCCUACCACCAUAUGAUCGCAUGAUCGAACACAAAAGAUUUGCGGAGGCUGAAUAUUCAGAUGUCUGAAUAACUUCGUAACAAGGCUUGGGUAAGGGAGUUGACCUAUGGCUUCAUCACUGCUCUAUACAUGUGAAACAUAACAGUAUGAGGGAGAGAAAACUUCUUACCACAGAGGAUGGCAUACAUCAACUUUGCCUCAGAACUUGACACAUCAGUUUUGGAAGUUGAUUUCGGCCGAAGGCAAUUGAUCACAAUUUUGUGAAGCAAGAUGUUGAAUGCAUUCAUCCGUGAGUAGGUGAUCUUCUCAUCUGUUCUCCUGUCCUUCACCAGUUCAAGUGUAGCCCCAGCAAUGGAAACUUUGAUUCGUUGAUAUCUGCCUCUCUCAACUUCUAACACAUCUGCCAGCAUAUUCAUAUCCACAACAUAGUCUUGUUCUUUAACACUGAAGGAGAAUCUAUUCGCAUCCAAAAAGCUAAGAUUUGAAUAGAAAUAUGCAGUCAAUUCAGUAUAAGCCUCAGUUGAGUCAGAGCAAAACUUUUCAAGUUGAAGAUAACUGAACUUUUCCCUCAAGUUCACUUUCACAGCAUCCAGAAAAUCAAAGUCCACACUUCUAGGGUUUAUUACCCCACGCUUCAGCAAUUUCGAGUACAGAUCCUUUUGUUCCUUUGAUCUGAACAAAUCUCCCAUUUUUCCUUGAAUUUCAGCCGCAAUACCCAUUUUCGGUUGAAAUAGACUGAACAGAUUGUCAUCAUCAUUCCCAUCUACAGGAUUCGGCCCCCAGUCACGAGGAUCACUUGGGAUAUUCGCAAGGGUUUCCUCAGCCACCCCUUUACGAGCGAUUCCCAAACUUUCCAUUUUUCGCAGAAAGAUAUAUUCGUUCAUAUAUCCUUUGUCUCUAAGAAACUCAUCAACAUAGUUCAAAGGAGUACGAAUUCCUUUUAAGGCACGAUAUAGCUUGUAAAUAAAAGCGGGCUUUUGAACUCUUACGGGGUCUGCAUCCUCGAUGAUUUCUUCCUGAUGCUGAUCAACAACGCCUUGAGGACUAGAUGGUGGAGAAUGACACUGCUGAGAAUGUUGUGGGCUCGGUUGUUGAUCUAGAGUAACUUCAUCUUCAGUAAGAUCGAAGUGCGUAGGCCCCUCACUCAUUCUCUGUGGUCCCCUGCUUGCGAUUCUUGACGACUUUCGUGAAGAAGACAUCUUUAACAGUGUUUGGAAGUUUCCUUGCUUGACUUUCCCAGAAAAGAUGACAACUUUUUGAAGAUUUAGCGAAGAAGACAAACGGGAAUGGAGGAUCGAUGCUUUCUAGGGUUUUUGAGAGGAAAGAGAGUAGAAAAGUGAAGAGAAAUCGACAGUGCUUGUUCGGUUAAAAAGAAGAGUAAACAAACCGUCACAAAGGAAAUAAAAAUAUGCCUUUUCAAAAUAACUGUCUUUAUCCGCAAAAAUAGUUAUUUCAAAAAUAACUUCUCUUUUGAAAAUGAAUCGAUGCAAUAUUUAUGUUAAUUAAAUAUAGCAACAAUUUAAACACAGUCUGAUGAUCGUACCUUUUCAAGAUAAGAUUGGAGAGAGAAAGACUUACAGUCUGAAGGUCGAGCCAAGACAGUAGAUAAAGUCUUGUAAGCCUGAGUCUGAAAGUCUUUAGACUUUGAUAUCCUCAUACCUCAAAAUGUUGAGUCUGGACCGUAUAGACUCAAAUUGAUUUUUCUCCAAAGGCUUUGUGAGUAUAUCCGCCAGUUGAUUCUUUGAGUCAACAAAUUGAAUUGAAACAUCUCCAUUUUGAACAUGGUCUCUUAUAAAGUGAUGUCGAAUCUCUAUAUGCUUUGCUCUUGAGUGGAGAAUUGGAUUUUUGGUGAGGUUGAUAGCGCUGGUGUUGUCGCAAUUAAUCUCUGUGCAUGAGUCUUCGAUUUCAAAAUCUCUUAGCUAUUGUUUUAUCCAUAGAAUUUGCGAACAGCAGCUUCCAAGAGCUAUAUACUCUACUUCUGUUGUUGAAAGAGACACAGUACUUUGUUUCCUUGAAAACCAAGACACUAUUCUGCUUCCAAGCAACUGGCAAGUUCCUGAAGUGCUCUUUCUAUCAACUCUGCAACCGGCUAGAUCUGCGUCUGAAUAUCCCAGAAGUUUAAAGUCUCCCUUCUUAGGAUACCAAAGACCGAUGCUUGAUGAUGAAGCAACUUAUUUUAUGAUGCGUUUGGCAACACUGAGAUGGGAUUCUCUAGGAUCUGAUUGAAACCUAGCACAGAUGCAAACACUCAACAAAAUAUCAAGUCUAGAGGCAGUAAGAUAAAGAAGUGAUCCAAUAAUGCUCCUGUACAGCUUUUGAUCAAUUUUCUUCCCUUCUUCAUCUUUAUCUAUCUUUAAAGAACUUGACAUCGGUAUGUCGGUCUUUUUGCAAUUCUCCAGUCCAAACCUUUUGACAAGAUCAUUAACAUAUUUUUCUUGAUAAAUAAAAGUUCCUUCCUUCAAUUGUUUUAUUUGAAGACCAAGAAAGAAUGUUAAUUCUCCCAUCAUACUCAUUUCAAACUCAUCUUGCAUAGACCUUGAAAAUUUCUUGCACAGACUUUCAUUAGAGGAUCCAAAAAUAAUAUCAUCCACAUAUAUUUGAACAAGUAAGAAACUUUUGUUUUCCUUCUUGAUAAAUAAAGUCGUAUCCACUUUACCUUUGACAAAACCAUUUUGUAUUAGGAACUUACUUAAUCUGUCGUACCAAGCCCGAGGUGCUUGCUUUAAACCAUACAAAGCCUUUUUCAGUCUGAAGACUGAGUCUGGCUUCUUUGGGUCUUCAAACCCUGGUGGUUGUUCCACAUAUACUUCCUCAUGGAUAAAUCCAUUUAGGAAGGCGCUUUUGACGUCCAUUUGGAAUAACCUGAAAUUCUUAUAACAGGCAAACGCAAGUAAAAGUCGAAUAGCUUCUAACCUUGCCACUGGAGCGUAAGUCUCAUCAUAGUCUAUUCCCUCUUCUUGCGUAUAUCCCUUGGCCACGAGUCUUGCUUUAUUUCGUACGACUUUUCCUUUCUCGUUCAUUUUGUUUCUGAAUACCCAUUUAGCUCCAAUAACAGUUUUACCUUUUGGUUGGGAUGUCAAUUCCCAAACAUCAUUUAUGCUGAACUGUCUGAGCUCUUCUUGCAUAGCUUCAAUCCAGCUUUCAUCAAAUAAAGCUUCUUCUAUGCUUUUUGGUUCAAUUUUAGAAACGAGUGCCACAGCACUGGACUCUUCUCGCCUUUUGGAUCUUGUGCGAAUUCCUUCAUUAAUUUCGCCAAUUAUAAGAUCUUUGGGAUGACUGGACUUAUGCUUCCAGUUACUCGUUGAUUUGUCUGGUAGAUGAUCUCUUUCUUUAUUUGGAUCUUCACUAACAACCUGAUGCUGGUUUUCCAGAGUCUGAGAUGCUUCUUGAGUUGUAGACUUUGGAGGGUCUGGAGCAGGUUCAGACUCUUCUUGAUGAGUCUGACUUGACUCAUCUUGCGUUGAGUCUUGAAAUUUGACAUUCAUUGACUCCUCUACAGACUGGCUCUUCUUGUUAUAGACUAUGUAAGCUUUGCUUGAAGUAGAAUAUCCAAGAAAGAUACCUUCAUCUGAUCUUUCUUCAAACUUACCAACUCGAUCUUUUGCAUUUUUCAAUAUAAAACAUUUACAACCCAAUACAUGAAAGUAUGAAACAAUAGGCUUCUUUUCUUUGAAUAACUCAUAAGGGGUUUUCUGAAGAAUAGAUCUUAAGAAGACUCUAUUGAUGAUAUAGCAAGCUGUUGAAACAGCUUCUGCCCAAAAUCGAGAAGAAAUUUUACUUUCAAUUAAAAGAGUUCUAGCCAUUUCUUGAAGAGUUCUGUUCUUUCUUUCCACAACUCCAUUUUGCUGAGGAGUAUACGGAGAGGAAAACAUAUGCUUACAGCCAGAUUCAUCACAGAAUUUUGUAAAAUCUUGAUUUUCAAAUUCACCUCCAUGAUCUGUUCUUAUACUAGAGAUAACACAACCUUUUUCAUUUUGAACCUUUUUAGCAAAUUUUUCAAAAUACGAAAAGGUUUCGGACUUACUUGAAAGGAAAUAUACCCAAGUAAAACGAGAGUAAUCAUCAACAAUUACUAGGCAAUACUUCUUACCCCCAAUACUCUGAGUUCUAGUUGGUCCGAAGAGAUCCAUAUGCAGCAACUGUAGAACAUAAUUAGUAGAGACAUAAUUUAUUGGCUUAAAAGAAUUUCUUACCUGCUUUCCCAGAAUACAUGGAGUGCAUGAAUCAGUCUUUUGGUAUGGUAAUUUUGGUAGACCUCGAACAAGCUGCUUUGAUGAGAUUUUGGCUAAUUGCUUCAUGUUGACAUGACCAAGCUUUUUGUGCCAUAAGCAUGCUUCGUCUUGAAUUGAGAUAAGACACUGCGAUUCAUUUGGUUUCACAUCCAAAAGAUAGAUAUUUCCAUGUCUUCGACCCAUGAAAGACUGAGUAGUGUCUUUACUGAUUCCAGAACAUGUUCCUUCUUGAAAGAAGAUCUUGAAACCAGUAUCACACAAUUGACUAAUGCUGAGAAGAUUGUAAUUGAGUCAUUCCACUAGGGAGACAUUACUUAUUGUGAGAGUACCAAUUUUCACUGUUCCAAAUCCCACAAUACUUCCUUUGCUAUUUCCUCCAAAUGAAACUUUUCCACCAUUUACUUGAGCAAGCUUUAUAAAACAAUUUGAGUCUCCUGUCAUGUGUCUUGAGCAUCCGCUGUCAAGAUACCACUUUACCUGUUUCUUGACAGAGACCUCAAAUUCACUGUCUGAGUCUGAUCCUGAGUCUGAUCCAGAGUCUGAGUCUGAUUGUGCCAUCAGACAUAGAUUGGCAUAUUCAUUAUCACUUUCUUCACACUCAGUAUCACUCCAGGUUUCAGCUUUGAGAGCUUUUCGAAAUUUUUCAGCUUUUCCUUUCUUCUUCUUCAAAAGAGGACAGUUGGGUCUGAUGUGUCCCUUUUUCUUGCAUUCAAAGCAGACUACAUCUUUAUUUGGUUCCUCAUCAUCAACAGACUUGGUCUGCUGUCUUUGAAAGCCUUGUUUCUUUGAGUUGAACCUUCUUCCUUUUCUGUUUAGUUUUCUGAAUCUUCUUAUCAUGAGAGCAAGCUCCUCAUCGUCCAUAUCAUCUUCAGAAUCUGUAUCAUCAGAAUCAUCAUUUGAUUUUAAUGCAAUGGAUUUCUUACCUUUUGGAUCUUCAUCUUCAUUGAUCCUUUCCACUUCAUAGGACUGAAGAGUUCCAAUCAGCUCGUCGACAGAUAGUGGCAUAAUUCUCUGCGUCUCUCUUAUCGAAGUCUUUAUGUGAUUCCAAUCCCUUGAGAGUCCACGCAGUAGCUUGUUUACCUUCAUGGGAUCAGAAGUUGGUUGACCUUGAUUUUCAAGACCAUUCACAAUAUCUGUAAAACAACUAAACAUGUCAGAUAUUGAUUCUCCUGGUUUCAUUCUGAAGGCUUCGUAUUGACCAAGAAGAAUGUUGAUUCUUGUUUCCUUCACUCGAUCUGUUCCUUCAUAGGUGAUAUGCAAUAUGUCCCAAACUUCUUUUGCUGUACCACAAGAAGAUAUUCUAUUAUAUUCAGUUGGUGAUAAAGCACAAUAUAAGGAGUAAAUUGCUUUUGCAUCGAGUGUCUGUCUCUUGGUUAUUUCUUCCUGAGACAUUCCGCUGGAUUCUUCAGUUUCUUUUCCUCUUUCAAAGACUGAUGCAGUGGUAGGAGUAAUUCCUUUUUCUACAACGUCCCAUUCCAGAGGAUCCUUUGAUCGUAGGAAAGCUUUCAUUUUGUUCUUCCAGAUGUUGUAAUCCUUUCCAUCAAAGUAGGGUGGUCUGGUAUUGCUUUGCCCUUCCAUCAGCCCUGGUGCUAACAUACUAGCCAUGGAUCUUUUACUAUGAAGUAAAACACUUCAAAUAAAGUAAGUACACGAGCUCUGAUACCAAUUGAUAUUGCUAGUAUAAACACCUAGAGGGGGUGAAUAGGCGCACAAACAAUUUUUCGAUAUACGGAAGCAAUUCUUAACAAAUUGAAAUACGAUCAAGGUAGGAAGAGAGAAAUUGGAACACAGGAUUUAUAGUGGUUCAGCUUUUCCAAGCCUACGUCCACUCUUCCGCACUGACAGCCCACCGGCUGGAUUUCACUAUGAUCAAAAGAGUAGUUACAGCACAGCUUUGCCUUGAUUCCACAGUGUAGAUGUACUGCCACACCUCCUCAAGGUCUCUCACAAAUAUAGACUCUCUUUUGUAUACAAGUAUUCGCUCAAAGGAUUUAUCUAAACAAAUAGGAGCUUCAGACUUUGGAAUUUUUCUAUCGCGCACUUCCUCGAACAACUAAGGACGUCUUCCUUAUAUACUCCUUUAUGCCAUCAUACCCGUUGGCACUUACCAAAGGAAUUCCUCCAAUCUACCGUUGGACGGAAUCAAUUAGGAAGAUCAUUCGAGCUAUUAAAGGAACGUGUUGAUAGCCCAUCAAUCAUGUUCGCCCAUACAAUCAGGAUCUCGGUUUCCAUAAGUAGAACCUUCUAAUAAUAUUUAGACAAUCAUCGAAUCUUCAGUCAUUGAAUCAAAUUUGAUCAAUCAAAGGAUUCUGAUACGUCUUCUCCAGCCAUGAGAUCUUCUCCAGAUGAUAAGGUUAAAUCCCGAACAAAACAUUCAGUUCGGGAUAACCUUUCUUCAACGGAUCAGUGACUGUCAAUGAGGAUAGACUUUGAGUCUUGAGUCUGGCUGUCCGGAAGUCUUCAGACUUUAACUAACAGAGUCUGCAGACCUUCAGACUAGACUGACGGAAACGUUUUGUCAACUUCAAAACUCUUCACGAGGAUUUCUCCAACAUAGACAUACGCUCCAUGGGAAAUGAGUUAAUACCUAAUACGUAUUUCAUACUACGUAUGCAUAAGCCGACCAAUAAGAGUGGCAAAAAGUUUGAUCUCAACUUUUAUGACGUGUGAGACUCUUGAGGAAAAGAGUUCCUCAAUUUUAGUGCUCUCAUGACUUUUACUUAUUCUCAAGGUUUCUAUUUAGUGUUUGCUAUAUUAGAAUGUUGCCAAUGGUCAUGAGUUAAUUCGAUCUAAUGGGACAUUUCUAGAAAAGUAAGCUGAACUGAAAUUGAGAGUUUGAAGGAAAGAGGAAGAUCGAUUUUGGGGAAUCACAUUGUAGUUUUGUAUUCACUGGUCGACCAAUUAUGACUGUCUUUGUGAUAAUUAUAAUUGUGAAUACAAUAUAUAUAUCAUGUUUAAAAGAGAUCAAGAGAGAUAUAAAAUGUGAUCGAUCGAUCUAGGGUACUGCAUACUAAAUCUACUCAAAGCGUGACGUCCAUUAUGAGCUAUUAUAUAUUCCUAACAGAUGUAUAGCAACGAGCUCUCAAAGUAUGCUGGUCACACGGAUUAUUCACCGGUAUGAAUGUUGAAGAGAGGUAAAGAGAAUCCUGUUCGGCCCACCAUGUGCGAGUGGGAGAUGAUGGUUUAUAUAAGAUGGGCUUAAGGCCCGUCCGCCCAAGUUGGGCCCAAAAAGCCCGGCCCACGGGAAUACGGCCCGUGGAUGGGGGGACAUAUAAAAGGGAGGAGAGAGAAGGGAGAACGCACCUUUUGGAAAUCAACGUACGUACGUCUUCCCUUCUCCCGCGCACUCUCUCUCAAAAAGAAAAAGAAGAAACAGUAAGGCAAAAGGCACAUUUCUUCUUCCCUUCAAGGCGUCAUCGGAUCGAACAGGGCCAAAUCUCUUUCUCCUAUCGGCGUCGGUGUCUAAUCUGUGGCUAACAAGGUACGCUCGAAUCCGUGGUGUGCUUUAGGAUCGGUGAUACGUGUUUUUCCCGGGCUUCGCUUCCGCAUUCAUUUUAGGGGUUCGAUUUAGUGUCGAAUCCGGUUUUUCGGGGAUCCGUUAUUCCCAACACUUUUCCUAUCACUAUUCAUCUUCUUCACCGCACAAACUCAACGACGAUGCAGUCAUCAUUAGUGUUUGCCCGCCAACCAAGUCUCGGGAGAAAUGUCACCACCAAUCUCUUCCCUACCGUUGACAGCCAGUGGCGAGGCUAAACAAGAUCCCCUAGUUUCAACUCACCUUUUUUGUAGUUCCAAGCAGCCUUUUUUUUUUUUUAACUAUGACAGUUCUCGAGCUGUCCCAAAUGCUCAUCCCGUGCUCCGUAGACUUCUGAGUAAAGGCCAGCGACACCUAGAAUCCACCACCGACCGAGAUCCAAACGCCCUGUUUUCAUGCUCAUGUCUUAAUCAUAACUCACCUUUUUGCUCGUUCACAGCUUGUUGUGCAUUUACCAAUAAUCUCUUGAAGACGUAAUCAUGGUACCUGAACAUUGUUACAUGAUUGACAUAGCAAGAAUGACUAGGCUUAGUGUCAUCCAAGAUGCCACGACUCUCAAAGCAAUAUUUUAAUUCAUUAAUGCCUUUAUCUUAUAGGUAAUGAAAUUUUUUUAUUGCCGACAUUUUAGUUAUCUAUCAAAGUUGUAAACUUCUUUUCUUUAUCAUAUAUAUAUAUAUAUAUAUAUAUAUAUAUAUAUAUAUAUAUUUGUUUAAGUUAUCCUUUGCUGCAUCGUAGAAUGUAAAAAGGAGUUUGGGGUAGGUCGGAAGAGAGAGGUUGUAUCCCACAUGCGGAAAAAAGAGUAGGUGGGGGAACAAAGUGGGUCAUUACAAGUGCAAGAUUGAAUCGAUCGAUUAUCUGAGACCUAAUUUCGCUUUUUCGAAUGGUGAUUACGAGGCCUCUUGGAUUCAAAUGGAAAUAAUUCAAUGUCAACUCCCUCCAGAGCAGUCGUUCGUGGUCUCACUUUUGACUUUGUAUCACCUAAGUCCAUUCUAUUAAUCAGCCAUGUUACAAGAUGCAAUGCUACUCUUCACUAUAUAUACCAACAAAAGCAAAGCCAUAAGAUCCAAAAUGCGCUGUUAUUAGUUAUCUAACUCGCUGUAUAUAUGUUUCUUCCCUGCUAGUGUUUCCUUUUUCAGGAUGUGCGAGUUGCCAGCACCCGUUGGGACAUUUUGCGCCCAUGUCAACAUGGACCAAUUGCCUAUUUCAGUACAAAGUGCACAUCCAUGACCGUAAGGGGCUGUUUGUUUGUGUUCUUUCUUUUUGAUCAUGAACACAAUUUUUAUUUUUUUGUUCUUAAGAACAAAAAAAUAAUAGAAACGCAUUUGUUUACGUUUUUGUUCCUGGGACUUGUUUUUGUUUCAGGGAACAAAUUUGAAACAGAAACAAGAAACAAGAAAAACUUAUUUCUUGUUCCCAAAGCACUUCUAAGAAACAAAUUAUCUUUCCUAUUUUUUCCUUCUUUUUCUUUUCUUCUUCUUUUUUCUUUGGCUGGUCGCUGGAGCGUCGCCAGCCCCCGGCAAGGCUUAGCCUCGCCUUGGCUGGGCCAGCUCGAGCUCGCCCAAAUCCGGCGAGGCCGCCAGCCCUUGUCUGUCAAUCGCCGGCCAUAGUCGAGGCUGGUGAUCGACCAAAAGGAAGAAAAAAUAAAAUUAAAAUUAAAAUUUAAAAUAUUAAAAAAUUAAAAGAAACAAAAAAUUUGUACAAAUUUACCAAACGUGUUUCUGUUCUUUUUCUAUUCCAAGACCAAGUUUACCAAACGUGUUAUUCUAUUAAAAAAUUGUUUCUCAGAAUAGAAAUAGUUUUUUCUAUUUCUGUUCCCUGAAAUAAUUUUUGAAUAAAAAUGUAACUAAAUGCACCCUAAGAGGCAAAAGUGGGCGGCAGCCUUCCACCGUGUAGCCGGCGAGAACUGGACACAUGGAGAGACAAAAUUACAAUCUUGUGUUGAACCCACGUGUAAAGUUUUCGAGCACGACCAAGCAAGAGCACCACGGAAAGCCAUACGGGUAACAAGAAAUAGGGGAAGGAGUGAAAGGAGCCUUGGAACGACAACGAAGUAAGAGAAACCUCCAAGAGCAGAGCAGUGAGCAUCGUGAGGAUGUUAAACACUCGGGCAUAACAAGCGGGGGCCAAUGAUAGAUGAGCAACAUGUGCCAAUGUGCAAUAGAACAGAAGACAGAAGAUGGCAACGUAGGUGGGAGACCAGCGGGUGUGAAAUAGGAUCUUGGGUUCGGCUUGAUAUUUUACCUCGGUCAAGGUGAAAGCUUUAGUUAUAACCAGGCGAAUAAAAAAUAUGAUCCUUUCAUGGAGUGGAAAGGAAAAGUAAUGGCUUAUCAAAUAAUCAUCCUCGCCAAAAUUCUUAAAAAUAAUGACUCACAAUUGAAACACAUAUUCAACUAGUACAAAACUAGAAAUUCAGAUUUUCUCUUCCCCUUUGACUUCAAACCCGCCAAUUCAUUUCUCUCUAUAGGAUUUCACCCAGUUUGACAUGAUAUACAUGGUGACAUAACAUUCAGCUCAACAAUGACAGGUAACACACAGUUAACAUUUUGAAAGAGAAAAUUGCUCUUGCAGUCCUCAUUAAGCUACGAAUUUGUCCAAGAAAACUAUUUCCAUUAAGUAAUGUCAAACUUGUCAGAUAAAGAGGUAAUAGGGACAAAGUUCUUGAGAAAAACUUCAUAUUCAACAUUCUCUGUGAAAAACAGACCAUCACUCAAAGGACUAUAGGACCAAGAUUGACUAAAUACUAGUGAAUAUAUUAUUUCAUCCAGAAGAUUAAUCACAAAAUAACACAAUAACUAUUCAUCCCCAGGAUAACAUGAUUACUAUAUGCGAAAUGACUUGAAGAAAUGAGAUGUCCAGAAGAUUAAUCACAAAAUAACACAAUGACUGUUCACCACCGGAUGACAUGAUAAAUAAAUAGACGGAUUCAUUUCAGUGCCAGUCACACCUCAACAACUUCCCACCUGACCAAAAUUCAAUUUCUAACUACAUGUCUCUGAAAGAUGAGAGAAUUCAAAUACCUCACAAAAAUCUAAGCAUCUUCCGUAGGAUGCAACACUUAACAUCCAUUUGUCUGCAGCUCCACAAAAGGGUCCCAAUUCAAUAAAUUGUCUAGAAAGCUCUAAGACAAGAUUCCUCCUACCUUGGUUUAGUGACAGUCACGUUAAAAUUCUAGUACUUGUUUUUUAACCUUAGACUUGAGGGUUAUUAUCCCACAGCCUAUGAGCCCUGAGCUUGAUAACUCGACCUCAGCUUGGCGUCGCCUUCUCCUUGCGCUCUUAGACAAUUUACGUGAAUCCUCAUGUAAUUCAACUUGCAGUUCCUUUCCAUCUUCUGAGCUAUCCCUCUCACCUUAACCGAGAGUCGAUAACUGUGAUCCCUACAUUGAUCAUUUCCUGUUUUGAGCCCAAACAGAGCAUUGCGGACAGCUUUCAAUAAUUGCCUUGGGUAAGCAUUUUGUCGGCACGUACACUUUGUUACAAUUUUUUAUUGUCUUUUUGACCUUUUAAGUAUGUCUCACUUCCUAUCUCAUCUUCACAAUUUCUAAACUUCAGUUGGAUGUGCCUUUUUUUUUUUUAUUGUCUAAACUCAUGUUGAUAAAUUGUUUGUAUGAAACAUUAAAUCCCUUGUUAAUAUCUUGUAGAUAAAAUUAGAGAGGUGCUGAAGGUCAAUCAGGAAAUGAAAGAUCUUGCCAAGCUGCCCAUUGCAAAGAGGUCACUUCUCAUGUUUGGCAAAUUCGCAGAGGAUACAAUUAUGCUACAGCUUUGGAAGGUUCUUUAAAAGUAAAGGAAGUGGCAUUGGUGCACAGUGAAGAAAUACUUGCUGGUGAAUGAAACAUGGUUCUCUGGCUCUGGUGGACAAGAGUCUUCCUAUUGUAGUGAUUGCUACUCAUGAUGCUUGCUUCAGGUUAGCUUUUGUCGUACAGGUUUACUCGCAUCGGUGAAAUCUCUAUUUGUUCUGAAGCUGAAGGUGUCAAUGUUAACAGCAAGCACCAAUUAGUUAUUCAGCAACUCCAUGCCCGCAAAGGACGCCUAAUUGUCAUGUGGUCGAGGGAGAAUGCUGCAGCUGUGUCUCUUGGUGGAGCACGUGGAGUCUUUGAAGUUCCUCAAGUGGUGGACUGUCGUAGUCAAUAUUCCUUUGCAGGUACAGAGUACUUCCAAUAGUUUUCUACGCUUGCCAAGAUGCAAUAUCUUAUUUUCCCAUUCUACUGAAUGUGUUAUAACUUGCUGAAGAUGAAGCUUUGAUGUUGAUGAGGUGUAGCUGGAUGGGAGCAUCUAGCUUUCUGUUUCCUUAAUUUGUUUUAUGCUUUCGGUGUUUGUUUUAUGAUUUGGCGUUUAAUUCUAAACGAGAGUAUGUUUUUAAGUCUUAAUAAAAACAAAAGAAAUCAAUUUUAUUGAUUGAGCCUCCUACGUGCUGAUGCUGACGAUUUCAAUAGCCAUACCAACAUUAUUAAAACCCAAGAGUUGGGCAGAAAAGGGGGCACUUGAUGACAGGAAAGCCGGCGACCAAAGCAUGGUGGACAACUGCUGUGUCCUUUACAUGGAAAUCAAAGGACGGGGGGUUCUUGGCGGUUCAAAUUGAAAAGGAAAUGGUUUAAUUUUUUUUUUCUCUUUAUCAUUUAGGAAAGACAAGAAAAUUUCAAGAUAGCAAACAUUCUCUAAAACUUCUCUUAGACUCGAACCCAUAAUUGAUGAUAGAACUAGAUUACUAAUCCUUGAUUAUUGAGGAAUCCUUCAUUGUUUGUGAAUGACUGACUUUUUUUCAAUCUUUUCGACCUUAGUUCUAUAGGAGUACGUCAGAAUUUUGCUGUUUUUAUUUGUUUAUUUAUUCAUUGCUUAUAGAAUAUUUUCACAUUCCCGUUCUUCCUUUCAAAUAGCCGGUUUCAAUUAAUUUGUUAGACAUGAGAUAUUGUUUAACAUUUGGGGUUUAAUUGUCGGCGUAUCAUCUCAAGUUCCUAAGAGGAUACAAUGUCGACUUGACCAAGAGCCUUGCAAAGAGUGUGACAACAAAGUAGAAGCCCACUAACAAAUUCCUUCUUAUUGUGUAUACUCAGCAGCGAAAUAGAUUAUGCCAUGAUAAUGUAAAGCACCCUUUGGACACAAGAAUAUGCAUUUUGCUAAUCAUUUGUACUUUAUUGAAUGGCAGUCCCUGCAAGAUCUUUAUUUAUGAUCAAUUAGGAAUAACUGUCGUAAUCAACCUUCUUGCACGUUUAUGGCUUGUUAUGCAUUUACAUGUCAAUCUACCUUGAAGUGUCACCUGAACAUUGUUUCAAGAUGGAGGUUGGAAGAGGAAGAUUGUAUUCUUAUUCGGGAAAAGAAAGUAGGCGAUAUAACAAAAAUGGGGUCAUUAAAGGUGCAAGAUUGAUGUAAUCGAUUGAGUAUCUAAGACAUGAUUUGCUUCUUUCAUUAAAUUGUAAGGUUGGCAUGAUAUGUUACUUUAUAAUAUGGUCUGAUUUGUAGACACAUAGAGGUCUCGUGUAUUCAAAUGAAAAGAACUUUGAUGUCAACUUGUUGCAAAGCAGUCCACUCUAUCACUUGAGGUGCAUUUGUUUCGGUGGAAAUUUUUUUUAAGGAAGAUGUCUUCCUCAUUUUUUGAUAUUUGGUUCACUUAAGAAAAUGAGUCAUUUAACUUAAAUUCAAGAAAAUAAUUUCCCCUUUAAAGAACCGGAAAACGUUUUCAAAAGUGUUUUCCUAGUCUUUGGGUGCUAGGUUAAUGAAAAUUUUAUUCUUAUAAAAUAAUUUUUCAAAAAAAUCGAAAUUUUAUUUAUUUUUUUAAAUUUUGAAUUUGUACUUAUUAUUUAUUUUCUUUUCUAUUUCCUUUCCUUUCCUUUCCUUUCCUUUUCUCUUCUUUUCUCUUUUCUGUCCUUACCUGCUGUAAACCUAGCUCCUCCUCCCCUCUCCUUCUCCUUCGCCCCUUCCCCUUCGCCGCCGCUCUUCGGUACGCCGUCGCCGGCCGCGUCCGGAGGAUCGUUGCCGUUCAGAAUGGCUCAGCCUGCCGCGAGCUCUGGUCCGUCGCCGUUCGCGUCGAGUUCCUCUUCGCCAUUGCUUGCCUCGUCGGGAAGCCCUGCUGCUUCUCUGUUCGGCACGCCUGCGCCUUCUUCCAGUGCAAUUGCAGGUUCGUCCUUGUUUGGGCCGGCCCCUGCCUGUGCUUCGAGCUCGGCCGAGCUUCGGUGGACGGAGCCGGCGUAGAGGGAGGCGAGGUCGUCGGAGAUGGCGGCGGUGGCGGUGGACAGGAGGAAGGAGCGAUGGGUGAGGUGGAGAGGCGGAUGGGAGAGAAGAAAAAAAGAAAAAAAGAGAAAAAAAUAAAUACUAUUUAAUUUUUUGUUUGUUUGAGAUAAAGUAUUUUCCAAUGAAAUCCAAACAUCAAAAAACAUGUGCAAUCGUAUAUUAUUAAACAAAGGAAAACUCAUCAUACUCCUAUCAGGAAAAUAUUCACUUUUUCCACCUAUAUUAACAGGUGAACAUUACAAAAGCACAGCGCUAAGCUCCGACCGUGCUGUUAACGAUUGUUAGGUUUCUUCCCAGCUCGUGUUUCAUUUUCCAGGGGUGUGCUAGCGGUGGAGACCCCCGUAGGACAUCUGCGGCCGUGUCGACCUAGACCGAUUCCCAGUUCCUGCACGGAGCGCACGUCCAGCAUGGCAAAGGGGCAAGAGCUGCAGGGCUGCCCUUUCAGCGUGUAGACGGCAAGAACGGAACAUGACCUCAAAGAUAGAUUCAAUCUUGUGCUGGACCCACACGUAAAGGAUUCGGGCGAGAGGCCCGGCAAGCAACUCGAAUAGCAAGAGAUAGGGGAAAGAGCGAAAGGGGCCCGGGACCAACAACGAUGCAAGGGAGGCCACCGAGAGCGUGGCGGCGAGCAUCAUGAGGAUGCGGAACGCCGGGGCACAGCAAGCAGGACCCAACGACAGAUGAGCUGCGAGCGCCAGUGCGAAAUAGAACAGAAGGCAGUAGACAGCAAGGGAGGUGGUGAAGGGGUGGGUCUCGAAUGGAGACUCAGGUUUCCCUUGAUAUUUCACCUCAACGAAGUUGAGAAGCGCAGAAACAGUGAAGGCGAGAAUGGUGUAGAGGAUGAUUAUGGAAAUGGUCGGAGAAAGGGAUGGCUAGAGUGGAAAGCAUAUCUUGGGGUUUUAUAGUGGAAUUUGAAGACAAGGGCAGUCUUCCACGAGUAUAGCAACUUAGUAAUUUCCCCAAAGGAUUCGCUUUCUGUAAGUUUCCAGUAAAUUUCGCCAAAAUAUUAUAGUAAUGCUAAGUCAGCGGGCGACGACCGUUUUGACUCGAGCGACUUCUUCUCGGCACUUCCACGUUGCCUUGCGAUCUUGCGAUCGACGACGUGGCCACGCUCGACGUCAGCAAUAGCGUAUAAUCCCUCUCGAGUGUCCACUCGGGAAAAAAUAUUGGGUGGUCCGGGACCACCACGUCAGUGUGGUCCCGGACCACAAAAACGGCGCCGGUGGUUUGCUUUAGCCGGAGUACUUUUGAAAUCGGGUAUAACUUGUCGGGAGGCGGGGGUCCGGCUUCAAAAUCAUGUUGGAUCUCAUGGUGUUAGAUGANNNNNNNNNNNNNNNNNNNNNNNNNNNNNNNNNNNNNNNNNNNNNNNNNNNNNNNNNNNNNNNNNNNNNNNNNNNNNNNNNNNNNNNNNNNNNNNNNNNNNNNNNNNNNNNNNNNNNNNNNNNNNNNNNNNNNNNNNNNNNNNNNNNNNNNNNNNNNNNNNNNNNNNNNNNNNNNNNNNNNNNNNNNNNNNNNNNNNNNNNNNNNNNNNNNNNNNNNNNNNNNNNNNNNNNNNNNNNNNNNNNNNNNNNNNNNNNNNNNNNNNNNNNNNNNNNNNNNNNNNNNNNNNNNNNNNNNNNNNNNNNNNNNNNNNNNNNNNNNNNNNNNNNNNNNNACAUGCCUGUCUGAUUAUCCGAAACUUUCAAUGUUUCCGAUGGCCAGCCCGUGAGAUUUCCGUAACAAGUUUCCUUUUUGAUAUUCGUACACAAAGUACAUCUCUCCGAUAUUUCUCCUUCCGAUCUUCCUCAAUUACAACUUUUUGUAAUACGUCUUGUCAGAAUCUACGCUCUCAUGUAGGGGCGUGCCUUAUAAACGAGGUUCUUACCCCUUAAUUAGUCCAAAAGAACAAUCUGACAUUCCUUCAAGCGGGGCCCCUCCCGUCCGCCCCCGCAUCCUCAAGAGUUGUCCUGCCACACCCGGUUGUGGCGGUCCCGGACCACCCAAUAUUUUCUCGUCCACUCGGUGGGGUGGUCAUGUGAAGCCACACACGGAUGUGAAAAUUUUCUCUAACAGGCUUAAUAUCCUAAAAAAUAAAGCUCGCUACCAAUUUUAUCCUAUAGUCAUUUUAGCAAGAAUAUUUAGGUUCGCUCCCAAUUUUAUCCCAAUUCCAUACACAGAGAGAGAUACUUCUGAAAAACAUAUUCUACAAAUCAUUUUAUAGGAAUAUGAUGGGAAAAAUUAUAAAAAAUUUCAUUUUCUUAGGAUAUUCCACAAAAAACUCCAAAAUGGUACACAUGUGAUAAAUUUAUCACAAACUAAUUUUUUUACUACCAAAACUUCAAACUGAUACAUUUAUGAUAAAUUUAUCAUCUAUUAGUUUCCAUUAAAUUUGAUUAAUACCACGAAAAUCUCUAAGCUAAUAUGCCCGUUAAAUUGGGAGUCUUCAAGGGUUUGGCUCCAUAAGAUUCUUUCUCAAAGCUUUGACAAUACGGCCUAGCCUCUUCAAACUAAAAUUGGGCAAGGACGAUCCAUUGGAUCUAUUCCUCUUUUCUUAUGCAUGUGGAAUUAUGUAUCAGAUUCAAAAGCAAAACGCAAAAUGCAAAAAAAAAAAAAAAAAAGAGUCAAAUGAUUGAGUACAUAAGAUGACCUUUGUGUAAGAAUUGUGGUGUGGUUAUUCUAAUUCACUCAAGUCACAGCAAUAUAAUAUGAGUUAUUGGUAGCACGUGUUCACUUGUUUAGUUUAAUAGAAGAUAUAGGCUGCCAACCACUUAAGGUUUGUUUGAUAAUCAUUCUAUAUUUCUAUUUUUCUAUUAUUUUGUUCUUAGAAACAGGAAAGGAACAAAAAUUCAUUUGGUAACAUUAGCGAUUUUUUUUUUUAUUUCUCCUGAAUAAAUUAGUAGCCAGGGAAUAGAUUUGGAACGGAAACAAGAAGUAAGUAAAAACUUACUUCUUUUUCUUGAGAAUAAAAAGAGAAAUAAGGCUAUUUUUUAAAAACAAGCUCAACGUAACCUAACGCUUGUUUUUACACAAUCAACACAAGGUCCAAUUUCCUGACCUAAUCCAAGUCCCCAUUUUUCGGAAUAAAAAAAAUCAGAAAUUUAGGAAAAAAAUUAGAAAUUAGAUUUUGAGUAGUUUUACCAGAUUUUAGAGUUAAUUCUAGUUUAGAAUUAGUUUAGCAUAAAAAUUAUGAAAUUGUUUGAUGAAAAUUGGAUUCAAAAUUGAAUAAGCUUUUAAGGCCUUACUAUAUGGAUUUUUGAAUGUUGUUUCUUUUAGAGACAAUGUUAGGUCGCAAGAGCUUGGUGACUCCGGUAUUCUUCCUUUAAGAUAAUAUUAGAGACAUCUUUCAAAUCAUCUUUAGUUCUAUUUUAAUAGAAAAAUAGAUGAAUUUGAAUAAGUAUUUUGCAUUAUCAUUUGUCUUGUGUUUAUAGCAAAUAAGUCUAUGCUCCAUGAAUUUUCGAUGUCAUUUCCUUAAAGGUUUGACGAGUUUGUACAAAUAAGUGCACCAAAAAUCGACUCCAUCCUCAGUUGUUCUGUCAUCGCCCAUUCUACUGAGCAACGUUUGCUCUUUUUCUUGCAAUUAAAAAUGGUCAAAAGGUCGAGCGACCCAAAGAGGAGAGAGGAAAAGAUAGGGAAAACGUUGACAUUUAUAAUUGUGUCCCACGGACAAGUCAGUGGGAAUCGGCACGUGUCGGUGGUCCGACCGUUAUUUGCCUCCCUCCUAAUCUUUUGUUUUCUUGCGGGUUCCCCUUUGUCCGUAUUAACAAAGGAGAAAAUAUGCCACGGAAAAAAAAAAAAAAAAUCAAAGCUCCCACCCUUUGGUUCGACGCCUGGACAGGGUUGGCCCGGGGGGGCACGUGUCGCCGCCUCCUGCUUGGUGGCUCGCGACAAAUAUCUGUCCGGAGAGAGAGAAUCUAUUCCUUGGAGGCUAUUCGANNNNNNNNNNNNNNNNNNNNNNNNNNNNNNNNNNNNNNNNNNNNNNNNNNNNNNNNNNNNNNNNNNNNNNNNNNNNNNNNNNNNNNNNNNNNNNNNNNNNNNNNNNNNNNNNNNNNNNNNNNNNNNNNNNNNNNNNNNNNNNNNNNNNNNNNNNNNNNNNNNNNNNNNNNNNNNNNNNNNNNNNNNNNNNNNNNNNNNNNNNNNNNNNNNNNNNNNNNNNNNNNNNNNNNNNNNNNNNNNNNNNNNNNNNNNNNNNNNNNNNNNNNNNNNNNNNNNNNNNNNNNNNNNNNNNNNNNNNNNNNNNNNNNNNNNNNNNNNNNNNNNNNNNNNNNNNNNNNNNNNNNNNNNNNNNNNNNNNNNNNNNNNNNNNNNNNNNNNNNNNNNNNNNNNNNNNNNNNNNNNNNNNNNNNNNNNNNNNNNNNNNNNNNNNNNNNNNNNNNNNNNNNNNNNNNNNNNNNNNNNNNNNNNNNNNNNNNNNNNNNNNNNNNNNNNNNNNNNNNNNNNNNNNNNNNNNNNNNNNNNNNNNNNNNNNNNNNNNNNNNNNNNNNNNNNNNNNNNNNNNNNNNNNNNNNNNNNNNNNNNNNNNNNNNNNNNNNNNNNNNNNNNNNNNNNNNNNNNNNNNNNNNNNNNNNNNNNNNNNNNNNNNNNNNNNNNNNNNNNNNNNNNNNNNNNNNNNNNNNNNNNNNNNNNNNNNNNNNNNNNNNNNNNNNNNNNNNNNNNNNNNNNNNNNNNNNNNNNNNNNNNNNNNNNNNNNNNNNNNNNNNNNNNNNNNNNNNNNNNNNNNNNNNNNNNNNNNNNNNNNNNNNNNNNNNNNNNNNNNNNNNNNNNNNNNNNNNNNNNNNNNNNNNNNNNNNNNNNNNNNNNNNNNNNNNNNNNNNNNNNNNNNNNNNNNNNNNNNNNNNNNNNNNNNNNNNNNNNNNNNNNNNNNNNNNNNNNNNNNNNNNNNNNNNNNNNNNNNNNNNNNNNNNNNNNNNNNNNNNNNNNNNNNNNNNNNNNNNNNNNNNNNNNNNNNNNNNNNNNNNNNNNNNNNNNNNNNNNNNNNNNNNNNNNNNNNNNNNNNNNNNNNNNNNNNAUACUAAUAGAUUUAUUAAGAUUGAUCUACAAAAUCGAUGUGAUGGAUUAUGGAUGGAUAUUAGAUAAGUGGGCCAUGUUCAACACCUCAUAACAAUAUGUAUAUUUGAUUUUAUAGACCAACCUCGAAAAAGCUUAAGGUUUUUAAGGUUUAUGCACAUGUUUAUUAUAAUGCCCAGAAAUUUACGGUUAAUAUUCUCAUAUUGUGAGGUAUAAACUAGUAGAACUCUUUGCUGUCAUUUUCAAUCAUUCAUCUUUAACUAACUAUUACAUUGGAUUUUCUGAUGCCAUCUUAGAAUAUUUGGAUCAAUUAAAUCCUUACAAAAGUCUAGUUUUAUUUGAAAAUGAAUUGUUAAAUUUCCACUAACUUUUUUAUAAUUAAAUGAAAAAAAUGGGAACAAAAAUUCUAGAGUUGUACCAAAUGCAUUUAUGUCCUUUUUCUUUUCCGUGUAUAAAAUUUUUGUAUAAUUAUUAAAUGCAUUAUUCUAUUCAGAAACUCAUCUAAGGAAUAUUAAAAAAAAAAAAAAAAAGCAAGUUCUGAACAAAAUUCCUCCCGAUUUCAAAAAUGUAACUAAACGCAUCCUUAGCCUCCCACCUCAUCUUGCGAUCUCGCAAUUGAGGAUGUGGCCAUGCUCCACCACAUUGGCAUAAUUCCCCUCCACUCAGUGACACAUGGGACCCAUGCCUAUAGGGAUGGAUCUGAAAAUUCUCUCUAAUAUUUCAAAAUUUCGGGUCUCCCUCUUGUCAAUGAAGAAGACUCUCUCUCUCUCUCUCUCUCUCCCCCCCCCCCCCCCACUCCUGAUCCGCUGAAUUCUUCGGUGCGUCACUACAGCAUAAUAAAAUAGACAGAUUCAUUCAACUAUUGAAGUGUGUUAAGCCACAUCAAAUUAUGGCAAACCCUGAGGGGAAAGCUUCUGAGUACAACUAAUAGAGAAUGCACUAAUUGAUUGUUUUUUUUUUUACCUUUCUAGUAUGUAUCACUUCCUAUCUCACCUUAACAAUUUCUAAACUUCUAAGUUAUAUCCGCCUUUUCAUCUAAACUUAUGAUGAGAGAAUUUUUUGUGUGAAGCAUGAAAUCCUUUACUAUUAACUUGUAGACAAAGUUAGAGAGGUACUAAAGCUUGACCAGGAAAUAAAAGAUCUUGCUAAGCUACUAAUUGCAGAGCAGUCACUUCUCAUGUUUGGCAGAGGAUACAACUAUGCUAGAGCUUUGGAAUGUUCUUUUAUAGUAAAUGAAGUGGUAUUAAUGCACAGUGAAGGAAUACUUGCUAGUGAGAUGAAACAUGGUCCUCUGGCUCUAGUGGAUGAGAGUCUGCCUAUUGUUGUGAUUACUAUUUAUGUUGGUUGCUUCAAGUUGGCUUUUGCGGUAUAUGUUAACUUGCAUCCCAGUAAUCUCUAUUUGGUCUAGAACUGAGUGUGCCAGUGUAAACAACAAGCAACAAUCAAUUAUUCAGCAACUCCGUGCCUGUAAAUGACGCCUGAUUGUCAUGUGCUCGGGGGGAAAUGUUGCCGCUAUGUCUAUUGGCGGAGCAUGUAGAGUCAUUAAAGUUCCUCAGUUGGAGGAUUGUCUUGAGCCUGUAGUCAAUACAGAUGCUUUGCAGGUACAGUGUACUUACAAUAGUCUCUUUAUGCUUAUCUAUCAAGAGAAAAUCUCUUUAUGCUUGCCAAGAUGCAACAUUUUUUUUCCUGUUGUACUGAAUGCAUCAUAUCUUGCUGAAUACGAAGCUAUGAUGUAGAUUAGGUGGAGCUGGAAGGGAGCAUCUAGUUUUCUGUUUCCUUGGUUUGUUUUAUGCUCUUGGUGUGUGUUUUUGGAUUAAGGGUUCCAAAAUUCUCUCUAUAAUUUGGGGUUAGUUCUUAAAGAGAUUUCUUUUUUAUGUCUCAGCUAGCACAAACAUAACCAAUAUUAUUGAUUGAUCCUUGUCAUUAUGUUGUUCAAACUAUUUUGUUCUUAUAAAGUACCUUAAUAUUAUUGUUUCCUCUUUUCUGAUAGUCUGUUUCAUUUUAGUUGAAUUUGUUGAUUCGUUGAACAUGAGAAGAUUUUUAACUAAUGCGUUGCAGUCGUUGGCGUAUCAAGCCUAGGAACCUCGCAAAGAGUGUGACAACAGAGUACAAGCCCACUGAUAGAUUUCUUCUAAUUGUGUUUAUCUAGCAGCGAAAUGUAUUAUGCCAUGAAAAAUAAAGCGUUUUUGCAGCAGAGAGUUUAGAUUCUACAGAUCACAUUGAUUCGCAAAUACUUGUACUUUUCUAAUCAAUUAGGAAAAAUUGUCCUAACCCAACUUUGUGCACGUUCAUGGCUUGUUAUGCAUUCACCUAUUAAUCUAUACCUUGAAGUCAUAAUCAUGGUACCCGAUCAUUGUUUUUUAUAAUUGACAUAGCAAGAAUGACUACAUUUUAGUCUUAUCUUGGAUGCCAUGCAAAUUAGAGACAAUAUAUAGUUCAUUAGUGCCUUUAUUUUCAAGGUCACGAAAAUGGUUAUUGCCGACAUUGUAGUUAUCAUAAUUAGCAUUCUUGAGGAUGCGGCUAUCCUCGAGUAAUACCAUAUUCGGAGACUCCUUUUUUAUGGUGGACUUUGUUUGAAGUAUCUUUUGCUGCAUCAUAAGAUGCGAAAGGAGUCUGGUGAAGGGAAGAGGAAAAUUGCAUCCUUAUUCUAGAAAAAGAGCCGGGGUUGGGAACAAAAAAAGUAGUUAUUAAAGGUGCAAAAUUGAUGGAAUCAAUCGAGUUUCUGAGACAUGAUGUUGCUUUUUCACUCAGAUCGGUUUUUGAUGUAAAAAUGUCUCUCGAGUGGUGAUUUUCAUCAAACUGUUGGUGAAUUCCACACGGUUCAUACCUUUCUUGGGAAAUACUCUUGAGGUUACUUGUACUGUCUGUUGAAUCGACCAAAUGGGCAUAUUAGCAUGUAUUCCUCCAUGGAAACAUUCCGCUCCGUAGGCACAGUGGGGACUUGUGUAUAUGAAUGGAAAGAUCUUCAUGUCAACUCUCUCCAAAGUAGUUGUUUAUGGUCUCUCACUUUGACAUGUUGUUACCUGAGUUCAUUCUAUUAGUCAAUCGUGUUACAAGAUACAAUGCGACUCUCACUAGAUACCAGCAAAAAGCAAAGCCAUAAGUUCCAACUGCGCUGUUAUUUUGUCUAACACACUGUUAUAUGUUUCUUCCCUACUCAUUUCUUCCCUAUAUGCGACUCUCACUAGAUACCAGCAAAAAGCAAAUCAUGUACCCUGUGGGACAUUUGCAGCUCUGUCAACACGGACCAAUUGCCACUUCUGGCACAAAGCGGAUAUCCAUGACUGUGCAAGGCAAAAGUGGCCGUGCUCUUCCAACUUGUAGCUGGUGAAAACGGGACACUUGGACAGACAUAAGUAUAAUCUUGUUUUGAACCCACAUGUAAAGUUUUCGAGCAAGACCAUGCAAGAGGACGAUGGAAAGCAAUACUGAUAACAACAAAUAGGGGAAAGAGCGAAAGGGGUUUUGGAACAACAAUGAUGCAAGGGAAGCCACCGAGAGCGAAGCGGCGAGCAUCAUGAGGAUGUGAGAUGCUCGGGCAUAACAAGCGGGAGCAAAUGAUAGAUGAGCAACAAGUGCCAAUGAGCUAUAGAACAGAAGACAGAAGAUGGCAACAGAGGUGGUAAAAGAGUGGGUGUCAAAAGGGACUUUGGUUUCCCUCGAUAUUUCACCUCAAUGAAGUUGAGCAGCACGGGAACAAUAAAGGUAAGAACCGCGUGGUGAGAAGUGGAGGCAGGGAAACCUCGGACAUUUCCGUGGGGACAACUGCCGAGCGGCAUUGGAAACUGGAAUAAGUUUCCAGAUUAUCCUUUAUCCUAUGUACAAGAUGAUAUCAAAGUAAUCGGAUAGAAAGAUGGGCUAGUAGAACAGGGAAAAUACUAAUGCAUUAGAGUGGGAGCAAAUCUUGCUUUUUAUAAUGUGAGUGGUUGAGCACUGCACUAGUAGAGUGUCCAUCUAUUCUAUAUUUGUGUCGCCACUUUUCGGAAGUUUGACGAGGCUGGACCAAAGGAGGGUGACCUAAUAGUCAAACUGUUCGUCUUGCAAUGAAUGCAACGGGGGUGGGGACAUCACACAUAAGAUAGCAUACUAUGACUUUCAUGCCAUGUCCACGA